ensembl:rRNA 5S_rRNA 5S ribosomal RNA
GUCUACAGCCAUACCACCAUGAACAAGCCGGAUCCUGUCUGAUCUUGGAAGCUAAGCAGGGUCGGGCCUGGUUAAUACUUGGAUGGGAGACCACCUAGGACAACCAGGCCCUUUAGGCA